UGGUUCUGGCAUCGAUGAAGAACGCAGCGAAAUGCGAUAAGUAGUGUGAAUUGCAGAAUUCAGUGAAUCAUCGAAUCUUUGAACGCACAUUGCGCCCUUUGGUAUUCCUUAGGGCAUGCCUGUUCGAGCGUCAUCUAAAAACCCUCAAGCGCUGCUUGGUGUUGGGCGCCUUGUCCCGCCCCCCGACGGGGGAGGGGACUCGCCUCAAAAGCAUUGGCGGCCCGUGUGAUCGGCUUCGAGCGCAGCAGACUCGCGCCUCGCAAGACCCUCCCACGCGGGCUCCCACAAGGACGCACCCCAAGUUUGACCUCGGAUCAGGUAGGGAUACCCGCUGA
rnacentral:misc_RNA from 1 species